GCAAGUCGAGCGGACAGAAGGGAGCUUGCUCCCGGAUGUUAGCGGCGGACGGGUGAGUAACACGUGGGUAACCUGCCUGUAAGACUGGGAUAACUCCGGGAAACCGGAGCUAAUACCGGAUAGUUCCUUGAACCGCAUGGUUCAAGGAUGAAAGACGGUUUCGGCUGUCACUUACAGAUGGACCCGCGGCGCAUUAGCUAGUUGGUGGGGUAAAUGGCUCACCAAGGGCGACGAUGCGUAGCCGACCUGAGAGGGUGAUCGGCCACCACUGGGACUGAGACACGGCCCCAGACUCCUACGGGAGGCAGCAGUAGGGAAUCUUCCGCAAUGGACGAAAGUCUGACGGAGCAACGCCGCGUGAGUGAUGAAGGUUUUCGGAUCGUAAAGCUCUGUUGUUAGGGAAGAACAAGUGCGAGAGUAACUGCUCGCACCUUGACGGUACCUAACCAGAAAGCCACGGCUAACUACGUGCCAGCAGCCGCGGUAAUACGUAGGUGGCAAGCGUUGUCCGGAAUUAUUGGGCGUAAAGGGCUCGCAGGCGGUUUCUUAAGUCUGAUGUGAAAGCCCCCGGCUCAACCGGGGAGGGUCAUUGGAAACUGGGAAACUUGAGUGCAGAAGAGGAGAGUGGAAUUCCACGUGUAGCGGUGAAAUGCGUAGAGAUGUGGAGGAACACCAGUGGCGAAGGCGACUCUCUGGUCUGUAACUGACGCUGAGGAGCGAAAGCGUGGGGAGCGAACAGGAUUAGAUACCCUGGUAGUCCACGCCGUAAACGAUGAGUGCUAAGUGUUAGGGGGUUUCCGCCCCUUAGUGCUGCAGCUAACGCAUUAAGCACUCCGCCUGGGGAGUACGGUCGCAAGACUGAAACUCAAAGGAAUUGACGGGGGCCCGCACAAGCGGUGGAGCAUGUGGUUUAAUUCGAAGCAACGCGAAGAACCUUACCAGGUCUUGACAUCCUCUGACAACCCUAGAGAUAGGGCUUUCCCUUCGGGGACAGAGUGACAGGUGGUGCAUGGUUGUCGUCAGCUCGUGUCGUGAGAUGUUGGGUUAAGUCCCGCAACGAGCGCAACCCUUGAUCUUAGUUGCCAGCAUUUAGUUGGGCACUCUAAGGUGACUGCCGGUGACAAACCGGAGGAAGGUGGGGAUGACGUCAAAUCAUCAUGCCCCUUAUGACCUGGGCUACCACACGUGCUACAAUGGACAGAACAAAGGGCUGCGAGACCGCAAGGUUUAGCCAAUCCCAUAAAUCUGUUCUCAGUUCGGAUCGCAGUCUGCAACUCGACUGGCGUGAAGCUGGAAUCGCUAGUAAUCGCGGAUACAGCAUGCCGCGCGUGAAUACGUUCCCGGGCCUUGUACACACCGCCCGUCACACCACGAGAGUUUGCAACACCCGAAGUCGGUGAGGU
rnacentral:rRNA from 2 species